ensembl:lncRNA
UCGUGGUGGAGAGGUUUGUGUGCCCCUAUGAACCUGAGGGCUGUGUUGUCUGGAGCAUAGUGCUCCUGGUAGGGUCUCCCAAGGAACAGUGGUCUUAGAUGAGGGGUCCGACCAAGAAUGGUUCAUAGUACUUUAACAGCAAGUACAGUUUAGCUGUGAGGAGUUGUGCCCCACAGCCCUAUAUUAUGCACAUUGUAAAGUUCAAUAUGGAGAUUCCAAUCAUCGCAAACCCAAUCCUGCCAGUGGUGGGAGUCCGCAGAAAUCACCUGGCAGCUGGAGGAGCUAGAGUCAGAGAUAGAAACCUUCCAUUGUUCUAUCAAUUCUGAUGUGAGGUACUCAAACUGCAUGCAAAGGAUAUCCUUAUCCCCUAUUUCUUCAUUUUUGACUUUCAUAAAAAAGAAGUUUGUUUAAUAAAAGCGUAAAAAUAAACACAAUAGAUCUAAUGCCUGUAGAAAACUCGAGUGAAACAAAUUGAAAUUGUCAGCCUGACAUGUGUUCGCCCUCUGCCUAGUUCCAGAGGUCAAAUCUGAAAUGAAUCCAGGUCUGAAAAUAAACUUCACGUUUUAUAGAAACACUGGAAAAAGUUACAUGCUUUACAUAAAAUAUACAAUACCU